AAAAAAGUUAAUAUGUAAGAACGGUGUAUUUUUUUGCGCUGUGACUGGCUUUUUUACGUUUCACUAAAAUAGUAAUGCAGUGUGACAAAUACAUUUUUAAAAGUUGAAAUAAUCAAUCUAGUCUCGCAAUUAAUAUGAUAACUUAAAUGUGCAUAUACAAAAAUAAAAAUACAAAAAAAGUAAAAUAGUUUAAUUUAAAAAAAAUAAAAAUAAAACUACACUCUAUAAACCCUAGAGAAUAAAUCAAAUCUUCAGCAGAUAGUAAAAUGUGUUCGAGUGUAGUCCGCGUGCUGUGAGACAGUGAGGAGUGAUGAUCACGUGACGCGGGCGUUCUGUAGGCUACUGUAGCCUCGGCUUGAUUCUUUGAAAGAGGAAACGCGCCGCACUCGCUCCUCACUGGCAUCAUCUCUGAGGGAACAGAGCUCAGAACAUAUUUUGUUUAUUUACGCUACAAUUAGCUAACUAAAUAACCUAAGCAGCCGGUCGUUUUUCUUUAACCUCAUCAUUUUGCUAUUUUACCACUAUUACGCCCAACAACCAUUAGAAACGCCAACCUUUCUUCGAAGACUACACCUGUCCCAGCAUCAUCUGAGUGAGAUUCCGCAAAGCUACUGUGAAACUGCUCUGAAAGAACAGGUCAAGAGAUUGGGGGCAUUUUUUAUGAACGCACAGACAGGCACCACUGACAAAGUUUUGCUUAUGGCCUCCAGAAGUCUAGGAUCAGCACCGGUCGUCACAGUGCAACUAAAAGCAUGAAAUGCUUGCCAACUCUGGUCACCAUCCAUUCUCACUGUAAAGAAAACAUUCUGCUGAGUGUUCCACAGAAGAAAAGAAAGUCAAUCAGAGAUGCGUGUGUCUGGAGCAACCUGAUGGUCAUAGAUAGAGUAUUUGCUUGUUUUUGUAGCUGUUGGGUGCAAAUGUUUUGUUGUGGAAUGCUAUUUUACACACACAUAUAUACACAUUCAGACUCGCACUCCCUUGUUUUCAGAGCACCAGGUGUCUCAUUAAUCACUAUGUGUACCAUCAGGCAUAAUCAUUUCAAUCAGACAUCCCAGUGUUUAUGCCAUUUGUUUACGCUGAUCAUUUCAUAUGCUGCUCAGCUCACACAUAAAAGUGCAAUUUAA
rnacentral:lncRNA from 12 species